UGAGCAGCUGGGCGUGGAGAGGCGUGUGCUGAUGGGUGACCUUUGCCCAGAUCUGACGCCCGGCCUGGGGAGCCGUGUGGGGACAGGAGGCAAAGCCGCCUUGGUGAGAAGAGAACCCUCGCUUUGGGAUGCCCUUCCGGCCGCAGCCCCUCCUCCCAAUCCCCUCUCCACCCUCUGCAUCCCAAAAUCCGUCCAUACGAAUUCGAGACAAUCUUUGCAAAUCUCUGGAGUUCCGUGGCCACGUCUUCGGAUCCUCGGGGUUUCUCCGAGGAUCCGAUUAGAGUCUUUGCAAAGACGGACUGACGCAUGCGUUGCACGAGUCGAGCCGGACGCAUGACGGGGAUGGAUGAAUUUUAAGCAAAGCAGUAGCGAGUUCGUGGUGUAGAGGCACAAGAUUUGGUAUGCCCUGGUCGGAGCGAUUGAUAAACGGCGAGCUUAUUUUACCUAUGGCAACGCAUCUGGACGGGUUUCACCAAUCCUUCAACCCGCCCACCGUACCACGUCAACACGUAAUGGAUGCGCCUUGUUCACUUGCGGCCGCACCUCUGCAGUUGUCCCAUCAAAUAAAAUACAACAGUGGAUAGCGCCAGUACUGUGCACUGCGAAGCUAUUUUUUUACACGAGCCUACCGGAAGCAAACAUGUCGUAGCAGCUCGUGACGUGCAGAAGCUGAAGUGGCAUCUCAGCGUGUCAGGUUGCCCGUGACGCCGUGGAUGUAAGCAAAGUCGUGGCCAGUUUUUUUUUUUUUUGAAAGAAAAGUCGUCGCCAGUUGGAGGUCGAGGUGUGCAGACUUCGAGGUCGAAAGUGUGCAGAGAAUUGUCCUUUGUUAUUACGGGCCGACGCAUUGCGUUCUACGAGCCGAAUCCAACCGGGCGCAGGAGGGACAUGGACGACUUGAAGCAGAAUCGUAGCCAGUUCGAGGUCGGAGUGUGCAAAGGAUUUGGUCUCCUUUUUCUUUUUCAGAAGUACCCCUCCACCUUUAAUCUAAGAAGGGUGGAGCGGACCUCUUGUACGCAUCAGAAGGGAAAGGGAUGCAAGAGUCUCAAUCAUUGUAGUAGCAGUUUGGUGUGGAUGCUCAAGUAAUGAUGUUCAAAAGAUGAAGGAGUUGGCAUCUCAAUUUCCGGAAGAAACAGACUUCGCCUAUCUGUAUGACAGAUACAAGACAAAUGACAAGGUAACCAAUAGAAAGCUCAGACACCAGAUCAGCCUGUACGAGGGGAGGGUAUAGGGCAGAGCAGGCUACUGGCGUACUGCCUCAAGAAAAGUGGGAGGUACACGCCAGCCGUCAGAGAUCGCAAGGUGGCCAAGGCCUGGGACAAGAUUUUGCAGGACAUUGAGCACGCGGAUGCCAAAUACAGAGAGUAUCGGGAGCAGCACUUUGUUCCUGUUCCUAUGCCUGUCCAUCUUCGCGCUAGGAUCCCCGACCCCUAGGUCCGGCUGUUUGCUUUUUCAUCGAUACAAACUGCUGCUGUAGAACCACACAGCUACCCCUGCAUAUACCGCUGGAGAUCUUCUGGGAUUUUUGUGCUCGUCCUAGGUUUUGUGAACGCCUGUUGGCCUGGAUGCGUAUCAAUAAUGCGUUAUUAGCUUUGACAUUCAGUCCAGUUC